rnacentral:tRNA from 1 species
GCCUUCGUGGUGUAAUGAUUAGCACACUCGGCGCGUAUUCGAGGUCCAGGUUCGAGUCCUGGCGAGGGAG